rnacentral:rRNA from 1 species
UACAGGGGGUGCAAACGUUGCUCGGAAUCAUUGGGCGUAAAGCGCACGUAGGCGGUCUGUUAUGUCGGAUGUGAAAGCCCUUGGCUUAACUGAGGAAGUGCAUCCGAAACUGGCAGGCUAGAGUACUAAAGAGGGUCGCGGAAUUCCCGGUGUAGAGGUGAAAUUCGUAGAUAUCGGGAGGAACACCGGUGGCGAAGGCGGAUCUCUGGGCCUUACCUGACGCUGAGGCGCGAAAGCUAGGGGAGCAAACGGG